AAUCAACGCUGGCGGCGUGCCUCAGACAUGCAAGUCGAACGAUUAAAGCUCUCUUCGGAGAGUGCAUAGAGUGGCGCACGGGUGAGUAACACGUAAGUAAUCUACCCUCGAGUGGGGAAUAACAGUCGGAAACGACUGCUAAUACCGCAUAAUGCAGCGGCACCGCAAGGUGACAGUUGUUAAAGGAGCAAUCCGCUUGAGGAGGAGCUUGCGGCAGAUUAGCUAGUUGGUAAGGUAAUGGCUUACCAAGGCUACGAUCUGUAUCCGGUCUAAGAGGACGGUCGGACACACUGACAAUGAAUAACGGGUCAGACUCCUACGGGAGGCAGCAGUCGGGAAUUUUGGGCAAUGGGCGAAAGCCUGACCCAGCAACGCCGCGUGAAGGAUGAAGUAUUUCGGUAUGUAAACUUCGAAAGAAUGGGAAGAAUAAAUGACGGUACCAUUUAUAAGCUCCGGCUAACUACGCGCCAGCCGCCGCCGUAAUAC
rnacentral:rRNA from 1 species